rnacentral:tRNA from 1 species
GCUUUCGUGGUGUAGCGGUCAGCACGCUCGACGCGUAACUGAGAGGUCCGUGGUUCGAUUCCCGGGAAGGCG